GUAGUUAGCCGAGGCUUAUUCCUGAGGUACCGUCCUUCCUCGUCCCCCAGAAAAGGGCUUUACGACCCGAAGGCCUUCAUCACCCACGCGGCGUUGCUGCAUCAGGCUUUCGCCCAUUGUGCAAUAUUCCUCA
rnacentral:rRNA from 1 species